rnacentral:rRNA from 1 species
UACGUAGGGGGCGAGCGUUAUCCGGAUUUACUGGGUGUAAAGGGAGCGUAGGCGGUGAUGCAAGUCAGAAGUGAAAGCCCGCAGCUCAACUGCGGGACUGCUUUUGAAACUGUAUGACUAGAUUGCAGGAGAGGUAAGUGGAAUUCCUAGUGUAGCGGUGAAAUGCGUAGAUAUUAGGAGGAACACCAGUGGCGAAGGCGGCUUACUGGACUGUAAAUGACGCUGAGGCUCGAAAGCGUGGGGAGCAAACAGG